rnacentral:rRNA from 1 species
UGGGGAAUCUUGCGCAAUGGGCGAAAGCCUGACGCAGCAACGCCGCGUGGGGGACGAAGGCUCUCGGGUUGUAAACCCCUUUCAGGAGGGACGAAAUUGACGGUACCUCCAGAAGAAGCCCCGGCCAACUACGUGCCAGCAGCCGCGGUAACACGUAGGGGGCAAGCGUUGUCCGGAUUUAUUGGGCGUAAAGAGCUCGUAGGUGGCUCGGUAAGUCGGGUGUGAAAUUUCGAGGCUCAACCUCGAGACGCCACCUGAUACUGCUGUGGCUAGAGUCCGGUAGGGGAGCGUGGAAUUCCUGGUGUAGCGGUGAAAUGCGCAGAUAUCAGGAGGAACACCAGCGGCGAAGGGCGGCGCUCUGGGCCGGUACUGACACUGAGGAGCGAAAGCGUGGGGAUCAAACAGGAUUAGAUACCCUGGUAGUCCACGCCGUAAACGUUGGGCACUAGGUGUGGGGCUCUAUCAACGGGCUCCGUGCCGAAGCUAACGCA